AUAACAACGCAGGACUCUUUUGAGGCUCUGUAAUUGGAAUGAGUAUACUUUAAAUCUUUUAAUGAGGAUGUAUUGGAGGGCAAAUCUGGUGCCAGCAGCCAUGCUAAUUCCUACUCCAA
rnacentral:ncRNA from 1 species